rnacentral:rRNA from 1 species
UACGGGGGGGGCAAGCGUUGUUCGGAAUUACUGGGCGUAAAGGGCUCGUAGGCGGCCUGGCUAGUCAGAUGUGAAAGUCCUGGGCUUAACCUGGGGACUGCAUUUGAUACUGCUAGGCUUGAAUGCAGGAGAGGAUAGCGGAAUUCCCAGUGUAGAGGUGAAAUUCGUAGAUAUUGGGAAGAACACCGGUGGCGAAGGCGGCUAUCUGGACUGUGAUUGACGCUGAGGUGCGAAAGCGUGGGGAGCAAACAGG